AUUGAACGCUGGCGGCAGGCCUAACACAUGCAAGUCGAGCGAGCGGCGGACGGGUGAGUAAUGUCUGGGAAACUGCCUGAUGGAGGGGGAUACCUACUGGAAACGGUAGCUAAUUCCGCAUACUAUCAGAUGUGCCCAGAUGGGAUUAGCUAGUGGGUGGGGUAACGGCUCACCUAGGCGACGAUCCCUAGCUGGUCUGAGAGGAUGACCAGCCAGACUGGACUGUAGAAACGGUCCAGAUUCCUACGGGAGGCAGCAGUGGGGAAUAUUGCACAAUGGGCGAAAGCCUGAUGCAGCCAUGCCGCGGAUGUGAAGAAGGCCUUCGGGUUGUAAAGCACUUUCAGCGGGGAGGCGUUACCCGCAGAAGAAGCACCGGCUAACUCCGUGCCAGCAGCCGCGGUAAUAC
rnacentral:rRNA from 1 species